UCGGGGGAAGUGCGGCGGUGGCGGGGUCUCCCCGACGGGGUUGAGCCAGUAUUGGCUGCGAUGCCUUUUCUCUUGGCGGGGGUGGGAGGGGGUCAGCUGCAACGGGUCUUUGGCCUUCUGGAAGAGGAAUCUGUAGGCAGCAGCGGAGGAUUUUCUGGACUAAGUCGUUAUUUCAUCCCUCGUCCUCCCUGAAUCACAUCCUCCAUAAGACAACUAAAAGUUUUUAUAUCUAGAGCAGGGAAAAGAUCAGUGAUGUGAUACUAGAAGCUUAAAGAAGAAAACGAUUUCAAGAUUUUAUAAAGGUUUCCAAUGUUUUGUGUCAAUCAGUGGAGUUCCUUCCAUUUGCCUUAUGACUCACGUUUAGUAAUCAGCAAUUAAAACCAGGGGAAUGUGGAAAA